rnacentral:rRNA from 1 species
UACGUAGGGGGCAAGCGUUGUCCGGAAUCAUUGGGCGUAAAGCGCGUGUAGGCGGCCCGAUAAGUCCGCUGUGAAAGUCCAGGGCUCAACCCUGGAAUGCCGGUGGAUACUGUCGGGCUCGAGUCCGGAAGAGGCGAGUGGAAUUCCUGGUGUAGCGGUGAAAUGCGCAGAUAUCAGGAGGAACACCAGCGGCGAAGGCGGUGCUCUGGGCCGGAACUGACGCUGAGGAGCGAAAGCGUGGGGAGCGAACAGG